GGCGCUAUGACCGAGUGGUUAAGGUGUCAGAUUUGAAUUAGCCACUAUCUGAUCCUCUUUGAGGGCGCAGGUUCAAAUCCUGCUGGCGUCG